rnacentral:tRNA from 1 species
AGUUAUUUUGGCAGAAUAGUGCUUUUAAUUUAGAAUUAAAGAAUGUAAUUAUAUUACAUAUAAC